GACUGAGGCUAUGUUGUGACUUACUUGGAGCACAAAAAGAAAUAUAGGCACCCAGGGGAGGACCCUGCUGGACUGUGUGUAUUGCUUAAUUCACAAAGAGGGCUUACCAGCCAGGACUUCUAGGAGAUGAAGGAAGAGCUUGUUCCUAAGUGGGGGCUUGUCUGGGAUCUACUUGUAGGCCAGAACCAGGAAGGGUUGGUAGGUGGCCUGUGAGAGGCCAAGCUGAACCUGGAAGAGCUGGAGAAGCUGAUGUGGUGGCUGGUAGACCAACAGAAGGAGAUGCCGAGGAUGUUGUAGGCAUUCCAGCAGACUGAGCGACAAGCUCUGCUGGGAUGGCAGGUGGAGCAACAGUGUGUGUUUCAGGAAUUCAUGAAGGAGCAGACCAAGAUGGAGCUUGUUAAACUACCAGAAUAUGGAAGAAAGGCAUAAGCCUUGCGGCAGACAGUGACAUCCUGUAGGACACCCUAGCUUUGGAAGAAAACACCUUCUGCAGUUGUUUGAAUUAUCCACUUCACAGGAUUUGGCUUUAUGGGAUUCCUAAACCAAGAGCUCAGCUGCCCCCAGCAUGUCCAACACCAAGGAUCUCAUUGCUAAUACUCCUACAGAUUUCCUGAAUUCAAACAUUCAUUCCUACCAGACUUGUAAUGUGCCUCAUCUACUUGGUACAGGUUUUUCUGUCCUUGAAGGCAUCAUACACCUAGACUGCGGGAACGUCUGCCUCCUCAGAUUUCCUGUAUACAGGAUACUCUUUGCUACCUUCCUACCACUGCAGCCUUCCUGGAGACGUGGUGCUCAGAGCUGUGCCUGUUCCAACAGGUUUUGUGCACCACUAAUGCUGGGUGGGGUGCUGCUGCUUUUGCUGGUCUACACCAUUCAGUUCUUCUGUUCCUGCAACCUCCUCCACAUCCAACAUCCUCUUAUCUGCUCCAGCAGAUAUCUGACAAGGGAUACUCAGUGCUGCCACUCCUGCAGAUUUUCAGUACCUCUUGCCGUUGGUGCUGCUGUUCCUGCAGUCAGUACUUCCCAUGUAUAUUUCCUCUACUUGGAGCCCUGAAUACUGCUACCCACACAGCUCCCUUGC